GUUGCUUCGAAAGAGAGACCGAUACAAGUAAACAAGUUUAAGAUUAUAAAGAAAACGGAACGAUCACUUAAUUAGAAACAUUUAUGUGGCUGACUGGCUGCACGAAAAAUAGCAGAACAAAUAAAAUAACAAAGUGUGAUCGUCGUGUGUAUGGUGUUUCGGUCUGUAUGCUGUUUAGCAGAUAAACAGCACCACUCUGGACUGGAUAAACUACCGAUGUCGGUCGAGUUACGUAGCUCUAGUUCUCCUUCCUUUAUAAAUGUCCUCGUGUACACCCAUGUGAGUGUGGGUGUGUUCACGAGGACGCCCUUUUUCCUAUCCCGCCUAGUGGAUUCUGCGGAUGGAUGAAGAACUUGUGGAUGGAUCAUGGAUGCCUGGCUGUAUUUCCCAUACUUAAAGCGUACAGCUAGACAAUUUUAUGACCAAGUGGGACCUGUCACCACAUCCGCACCACCUCGAACAAAAAAACGGUGCAAAGCACUUUCGUCACGAAAGAUGUAUUUAAGAAAAAUAAGAGAUACAGGAGUCGUCG